rnacentral:miRNA from 1 species
ACUUUUAAAAUCAGUUAUUUCAGAACCGAUUUUGAAUGUAGUAUACAAAAUUGGUUCUUAAAUAACCAAUUUUAAAAGU